GGGGCACAUGCGCGGUCUACACAUGCAGUCGAGGGACGAACCGAGUGCUUGCACUCGGGGAGACCGGCGAACGGGUGAGUAACACGUGAGGAACCUGUCCGGUACACCGGGAUAACCGCGGGAAACCGUGGCUAAUACCGGAUGCACCACCGUGACCGCAUGGUCGUGGUGGGAAAGCUCAGGCGGUACCGGAGGGCCUCGCGGCGUAUCAGCUAGUUGGUGGGGUAACGGCCCACCAAGGCUUCGACGCGUAGCUGGAGUGAGAGCUCGAACAGCCACACUGGGACUGAGACACGGCCCAGACUCCUACGGGAGGCAGCAGUGGAGAAUCUUGCGCAAUGGGCGAAAGCCUGACGCAGCCACGCCGCGUGCGGGAAGACUGCCCUAUGGGUUGUAAACUGCUUUUCUACGCCAAGAAAGGUUUCUACGGGUAGGGAUUUGCCGGUAGCGUAGGAAUAAGCAUCGGCUAACUCCGUGCCAGCAGCCGCGGUAAUACGUAGGGUGCAAGCGUUGUUCGGAAUCACUGGGCGUAAAGGGCGUGUAGGCGGAGUGAUUAGCGAGGGGUGAAAUCCCGGGGCUCAACCCCGGAACUGCUUUUCGAACUGUCACUCUAGAGAAGGUCAGGGGCCGGCGGAAUUCCUGGUGUAGAGGUGAAAUUCGUAGAUAUCAGGAGGAACAUCGGAGGCGAAGGCGGCCGGCUGGGGCCAUUCUGACGCUGAGGCGCGAAAGCGUGGGGAGCGAACAGGAUUAGAUACCCUGGUAGUCCACGCCGUAAACGGUGGGAACUAGAUGUGGGGUCCGUUCC
rnacentral:rRNA from 1 species